GCAAAACGCGAAGAACCUUACCAGGUCUUGACAUCCCAUUGACCGCUAUGGAGACAUAGCUUUCCCUUCGGGGACAGUGGUGACAGGUGGUGCAUGGUUGCCGUCAGCUCGUGUCGUGAGAUGUUGGGUUAAGUCCCGCAACGAGCGCAACCCUUGUUCUUAGUUGCCAUCAUUUAGUUGGGCACUCUAAGGAGACUGCCGGUGACAAACCGGAGGAAGGUGGGGAUGACGUCAAAUCAUCAUGCCCCUUAUGACCUGGGCUACACACGUGCUACAAUGGACGGUACAAACGGUUGCCAACCCGCGAGGGGGAGCUAAUUCGAUAAAACCGUUCUCAGUUCGGAUUGUAGGCUGCAACUCGCCUACAUGAAGCCGGAAUCGCUAGUAAUCGCGGAUCAGCAUGCCGCGGUGAAUACGUUCCCGGGUC
rnacentral:rRNA from 1 species